GAGACUCUGUGCGCGUGCAUAUCAAUAAGCGGAGGAAAAGAAACUAACAAGGAUUCCCCUAGUAACGGCGAGUGAAGCGGGAAGAGCUCAAAUUUGAAAUCUUAAAGGGUUUCCCUUUACGAAUUGUAGUUUAAAGAAGUGUUUUCUGUUGGAGUUUCGGUAAAAGUUCUUUGGAAUAGGACAUCAUAGAGGGUGAGAAUCCCGUAUUUGAUCGUUACUUUCCAGCUGUGUGAUACACUUUCAAAGAGUCGGAUUGUUUGGGAAUGCAGUCCAAAAUGGGUGGUAAAUUUCAUCUAAAGCUAAAUAUUGGCGAGAGACCGAUAGCGAACAAGUACCGUGAGGGAAAGAUGAAAAGAACUUUGAAAAGAGAGUUAAACAGUACGUGAAAUUGUCAAAAGGGAAGCGUUUGACACCAGUGUUGUUUAGUUGAAAAUCAAUUAAAUAAUUUGUGAUUUUGAGUAGUAUUGACUUUAUCAGCUUGCUGCUUUCUUUUUCAUAAAUUAUUUAAUGCACUUUUCAGUUAACAAGUCAACAUCAAUUUCUUUUGUUGUAAAAGGGUAAGAGGAAGGCGGCUCGCGCUUCGGCUCAAGUGUUUAUAGCCUUUUAUCUCUGCAAUCGGAGAGAUUGAGGUCUGCAGCGUAGAUCCUUCGGGGUUAGAUACAUUGGUGCUAAGCUAUAGCCUUGUAUAGACAACUUGUUGACUAUGCUCAGUCAUGUAGCUUACUCGCUGAUGCUAUUUUACCUACGCUUAGGAUGUUGACAGCAGUAUAGACUGU
rnacentral:rRNA from 1 species